rnacentral:rRNA from 1 species
GUGGGGAAUUUUGGACAAUGGGCGAAAGCCUGAUCCAGCCAUGCCGCGUGCAGGAUGAAGGCCUUCGGGUUGUAAACUGCUUUUGUACGGAACGAAAAGACUCCUUCUAAUACAGGGGGUCCAUGACGGUACCGUCAGAAUAAGCACCGGCUAACUACGUGCCAGCAGCCGCGGUAAUACGUAGGGUGCAAGCGUUAAUCGGAAUUACUGGGCGUAAAGCGUGCGCAGGUGGUUAUAUAAGUCAGAGGUGAAAUCCCCGGGCUCAACCUGGGAACUGCAUUUAUGAAUGUAUAGCUAGAGUACGGUAGAGGGUGGUGGAAUUCCGCGUGUAGCAGUGAAAUGCGUAGAUAUGCGGAGGAACACCGAUGGCGAAGGCAAUCCCCUGGACCUAUACUGACGCUCAUGUGCGAAAGCUAGGGCAGCGAACGGGAUUAGAUACCCCUGUAGUCC